UACGUAGGGGGCUAGCGUUGUCCGGAAUCACUGGGCGUAAAGGGUGCGUAGGCGGGUCUUUAAGUCAGGGGGGAAAUCCUGGAGCUCAACUCCAGAACUGCCUUUGAUACUGAAGAUCUUGAGUUCGGGAGAGGUGAGUGGAACUGCGAGUGUAGAGGUGAAAUCCGUAGAUAUUCGCAAGAACACCAGUGGCGAAGGCGGCUCACUGGCCCGAUACUGACGCUGAGGCACGAAAGCGUGGGGAGCAAACAGG
rnacentral:rRNA from 1 species